GUUCCUUGGAGCAGAAAGAUCUCAGGGCUCUCCGUCACUGAGGGCUCCUCCAAUCCAGCCCAGCCAUGCUGUGAAGGCCCCAAGUGAUGAUGUCAAGCUGACCUGUGUUCCAGUCCCAGCUCCAGCCAACUGUGUGACCUCGGCCACUCACUCAAGCCUCAGUUUCCUCAUCUGUAAAAGGAAGCCAGGACCCCACUCCCAGCUGGCAGUGGUGGUCAGAGGUGCUAACAGGGGCCCUGGACAGCUGGGACAACUGAGCCACACGUACCAGGAUCAAGGCCUGCCAGCUCCAGACUGCUUUCUUGCCACUUUCUGCUGUGCUGUUUGCUGUUGAAUGUGUGUACUGGCCUAAAUGGUGUCCCGCGAAAGGUCAUGUCCACCCAGAACCUCAGGAUGUGACUUUUUUUGGAAAUAGGGUCUUUGCAGAUAUACUUUAGGUAAGAAUCAAAAUGAGAGUGUUUCUUGUUAUACACAGGAAAGAACAAGCAGGGAUUCAGGGGACGGGGGAGGGGGGGCACGAUUGAAGACAGAGGCAGAGGUUUGGAGCCACCAGGAGCUGGAAGAGGUGGGAAGGACCCCCCUCCCCCGCCCAAGCCUGUGGAGGGAGUGCAGCCCUGCGACCUCUCACCUUUCGAUGUCUGACUGCAGAAGAACACUUCUGUCUUGUGAGGCCUGAAGGCUGCGUUCAUUUGUCAUGGCUGCCCCUGGACACUCUUACAGCGUGAUUUCCCCUCAGCUUCACUCCAGUGCAAUUUAAUUCAGCUCCACAGAUGGUGAAUCACUACCCAGGACCAGACCCCACUAAGGACUUGGGGGCCUCCAAGAAGAAUGAGACCCAGCUCAUCCACUUUAAGGAAUGGAUGGCCUGCACUCCCGUCUCCAAAGCAGAUGGCCGCCCAUCUGUGGGAGCUUUCUCUUAGCAUACCGUUCCCUUCCCCAGGAAGCAGCCAGGAGCCUCCUGGAGAUGUGGACUGGUCACCGUGGGCCCAGGGCCGCACAGUUUGUGCGUGUUGGAACCAUAUCCUGACCUAAGUCAAUUGCCCAGACUGUCCCUCCUGGAGGAAAGCACAAAGGUGACAUGUCAUUUAUUCAUUAUUUCUGCAGACUAGAGACUCUGGUCGUAUUUGUUGCAUGCCAGUUUUUCCCAGCCUGGACUUUGCUGACUGAGUCCACCUGAAGUCAUAAACGGGCAACCGUUGCCAACAGUGCCCCGAGCUGUUUCUGCACAGCUGCACAUUUUCCUCCAGGGCAGACCUGCUUUCCUGGGUGUCUUUGGCCUUUGGCUAGGUGCAGCAUUUCCACAGUGGGAAAUUGUCCAGGCUCUUAUUUAAGAUGGACAUUCCUUAGCCUGACCCUGGGUAUGGAGUCAGACUCCCAGGGGCUGGCGUCUUGGACUCGGCAUGUUGCUAGCUCUCGGGUGACCCCGGUGCACACUGACGUUUGAAAACUGCUUUGGGGAGUGGAGAUUUUGCUUUCAGGCAUCUAGCCUGCUUCUCUGGACCAAGAGCAACCACCAAAA
rnacentral:lncRNA from 1 species